CCGCCCCGCCCACGCUCCUCCUCCCCGGGCCGGCCUCUGCCUGAGGCUCCGCGCCGGAGCCAGCCGCUUCCAGUGUCGCCGCCGGGGGGGGGGGACUCCAUCCUCCCCAGCGCGGGGCCCUGCUGCCGCCUGGGCGGGGGACGCUUCGGGGGCGCCGUCUUCUGCUGGGCUGUGAGGAGGGGGCCCCCCUCGUCCAGCUGCCUCCCCUCAGGGCUGUGGGCACGACAGGCCCCGCUUUGCCUCAGCGGCCGGCACUAGCUCCGCCAGGGUCCCCCCCCCCCCGGCAGCCUGACGAGCUUUGUGGGAGCCGGGGCAGCGCGGGCAGAGAUGCGCCGGCUCCAGAGGGCGAGGAGGCUCGCGGGGGCGAACUGCCUGCCCCGGAGACACGGCGCGACGCCGAGCAGCUCUGCCGAAAAUGCGUCGUUUUCGGACGUGCUGCAGCUGGGGGCUAAAAAGCUCGCCGGGCUCGUGUUCCCCCUCCGGCGUCUCGAGCCGUGUCUGGCCCCGGGCGCGAACACGGCGAGCUUCCGGACUUUCAACCCCAGCCGGGGUGACCUCCGCAGGGCAGAGGGGUUUUUCACAGCCUCGGGCAGACACGUGAUCGGUUAUGUCACUUCUGCCGUCCGCAUGGACCAUGCGCCCCGGCUCUCCCAGCCUGAGGUGUGCUUUGUGGGCAGAAGCAAUGUUGGGAAAUCCUCCUUAAUAAAGGCCUUGUUUUCACUGGCUCCAGACGUUGAAGUCAGAGUGUCAAAAACUCCAGGCCACACAAAGAAAAUGAAUUUCUUCAAAGUGGGGAAAUACUUUACCUUGGUGGACAUGCCAGGCUAUGGCUACCGAGCCCCCCAAGACUUUGCUGACAUGGUGGAGGCCUAUUUACAAGAGCGUCAGAACUUGAAGAGGACAUUCUUAUUAGUGGACAGCUUGGUAGGAUUGCAGAAAGCAGACCACAUUGCCAUUGAAAUGUUGGAGGAGUUUGGGAUCCCUUACGUUCUUGUGUUAACCAAAAUCGACAAAGUUCCCAAGGGAUUGUUGGUUAAAAAUGUACUGGAGAUCCAGGACUUCGCAGAGACACACACUCAGGGGUGCUUUCCUCAACUCUUCCCAGUCAGUUCCAUAGAGUAUUCUGGCAUCCACCUGCUGAGGUGUUUUAUAACCCAUGUUACAGGAAACCUUCCCAUGAAGAAUACCUGACAGACCUACCUCUCUCUGUCCACAAUUCUCCCGUUGUACUCUACCCAUCCAGCACAACAGGUCUGGAGCUUGGCUGAAACAAAUCAAGGAGCAGCAGACUCAUUGCCAAAUAAGAAUAUAUUUUGACUGUAUAUUUCUCUCUAUAUUCAUAGUUUAAACCUAUCACUUAAAUUGCUUGUUUCACCUUAUAUAGCCUAGGCCUGGUAUUUCUGCUUGCUGAAUUUGUUUACUAUUACAUGUUCUUGAAUAGGAGAAAAUCCACAUUUGCUUGACUGAGCUGAGAUCUGUAACACCUACAGGGAACUUGGUAGCUGGGCUUGCAAUCCAUACCCUCUGCUAGAUAACUAAGUGGGAAGUUUGCUUUCCUCCAGAGAUAUUUAUGUGCUUUCGCUGCACCAAACCAUACACAUUUGGAUGAAAAUAUUUUGUGGCAGGUGUUCAGUUAAAGAAUGCUGAUUUAAGAGAAGUUAGUGUAUGAUCAGUAGAUUUCUCUAACCAGAAAUGCCAAGAAUAAUAUAUAGCCCCCUGACUCACUGCCUGAAGACCACCAUUCUGAAAAUAUUUACUACCUAACCCCCAUAAGCAAAGAUGUAUAAAGCUUUUAGAGCUCACCUGUUCUAAGGAAUCCUCUAAAAUUAUUUUCUUGUUACUAGCUUUACUUAUUGCCUCUUCAGUCUCAUCUAUUAUCUGCAAAGCGGAACCUGUAAUGCACAUUGAAAAAAAAGACACACACACACACACACGUGUAAGAGAACCAUGUGGUACAGUUCUGAAAUUUACAAGGAAUCGCUGACUGAAUACUGCCCAUUAAUGGGUAUUCAGAAUCUCUCAGCAUCUUUAAAACAGACUUUUUUUUUUAAAAUCAGCCUGCCAAAGAAAUGUUUCCUCCCCACAUCCCAAAACAUGUAUUCUCCCCACCCCCUACCCCCACAAAAGUUACUCCUGCCAGGUAAGAGUCAGCCCUAUAUCAGUAGGUCACUGUUCUAACAAACUUUAAAACUAGUGCAGCACUCAAGACCCACAGACAGUUCAGAGAUGCCUCUGUGUAAUGGACAGAUUUAGUAAUAGUCAGAUUUAGUUUCAAAAGAGGCAGCACAGCUAGGCAGGGGAGAAGGAAUAGAAGCAGUGCAGUUGGUUGCAAAUGGUUGAAGGAAAGGGGGAACAAUACAUGCUGCAGCAGACAAAAAAACAAAAACAAACCAAAAAAACACCGAACAAGUGAGAUGAAGAUGGCUUUAGAAUUCUCCUCUGAGGGAUUGCAGAUUUUACCCAAUCCCUGCACUCUUACUUCUGGGGAAAUUCUGCACCAUUGUGCACAUGCAGAAUUUUUUUUCCCACUGCAGAAAAUACAUUCUGCCCAAGAAGUGCUGCAGUUCUGCCUUUUGCCCAAUUCUGGUGCCACAGAAUUUUUUUUCUGCAGGGGGAAAAAAAAUUCUGCACAUGCCCAGUGGUGCAGAAUUCCCCCAGGACUAGAAAUUCAUCACAGAACCCUGCCUGCAGCACCAGGUUAGGAUAGAAAGAGUGGGGCACAUGGGGCUGCUGGUGGAGGAGGUAUCACACUGAGGUUCAGAAUGGCUAGUGGGGGGACAGACUGGGGCACAGGCUCAGGGGAGCUAGUAGGUUGACAGCAUUGAGCCAGGGGCUAAAUGGGAGUUGGGGUGCAAGGCUGCAUGGGGAGGAAGGCUGAGACACAUGGGGGUGCAGGGACAGUGGUAGCUGUGCCUAUCUGAAUGGGAGAAGUUUGAGGUCAACCAGGGUAUGCAUGGGGGAGGCUCCCCAACUCCCUAACAAUCCCUCCACCCUCCCAAAAAACCCUGUUCCAUACUUCUCAUCCACAGUGAACAACCCUCCAGGUCCAGGCUCCUUCCCUCUCCCUCAGUUCCUCUGUUACCCCGACUCCCCGAAAUCUUUGCAAUACUUCUGACGGGUGUGGGAAAUUCAUUUGAAUUUCAUUACAGAAAUGUAUUACACAAAGUUCUGUACUAAUGGGCUUAGUAAGGAAUCUAUUUGUCCAAAAAAAAAAAAAAAUUACCAGAAAUUUUUUUUGGGGGAAAAGGGGUGUCUAUAUUGUUAGAGACCUACUUCCUGAUGGGUAUUUUGAAACAAAUUUGAAACUGUCAUGAUUAUAUUGUGUUAUUUUGACAAAUAAAAUAUGCACGUUUUUAAAGUA